rfam:Triticum aestivum genome assembly, contig: Triticum_aestivum_CS42_TGACv1_scaffold_146068_2BS
UAAAUACUCCCUCCGUCCAGAAUUACUUGUCGCACAAAUGGAUAUAUCUAGACAUAUUUUUAGUUUUAAAUACAUCCAUUUCUAUCUACUUCUGCAACAAGUAAUUUGGGACGAAGGAAGUAUUUA